UCAGGUUUGAAUAAUUCCUCUCUAACUUGACAAGUUAAAAUUUUAUAUAUAAACUAAAACCUG
rnacentral:tRNA from 1 species